AGCGAACGCUGGCGGCAGGCUUAACACAUGCAAGUCGAGCGGGCAUCUUCGGGUGUCAGCGGCGGACGGGUGAGUAACGCGUGGGAACGUGCCUUCUGGUUCGGAAUAACUCAGGGAAACUUGAGCUAAUACCGGAUACGCCCUUUUGGGGAAAGGUUUACUGCCGGAAGAUCGGCCCGCGUCUGAUUAGCUAGUUGGUGGGGUAACGGCCUACCAAGGCGACGAUCAGUAGCUGGUCUGAGAGGAUGAUCAGCCACACUGGGACUGAGACACGGCCCAGACUCCUACGGGAGGCAGCAGUGGGGAAUAUUGGACAAUGGGGGCAACCCUGAUCCAGCCAUGCCGCGUGAGUGAUGAAGGCCUUAGGGUUGUAAAGCUCUUUUAUCCGGGACGAUAAUGACGGUACCGGAGGAAUAAGCCCCGGCUAACUACGUGCCAGCCGCCGCCGUAA
rnacentral:rRNA from 1 species